rnacentral:rRNA from 1 species
GACGAACGCUGGCGGCGUGCUUAACACAUGCAAGUCGAACGGAAAGGCCCCUUUGGGGGUACUCGAGUGGCGAACGGGUGAGUAACACGUGAGUAACCUGCCCUUGACUUCGGGAUAACUUCAGGAAACUGGGGCUAAUACCGGAUAGGAAUCCUUGCUGCAUGGUGGGGGUUGGAAAGCUUCGGCGGUUUUGGAUGGACUCGCGGCUUAUCAGCUUGUUGGUGGGGUAGUGGCUUACCAAGGCUUUGACGGGUAGCCGGCCUGAGAGGGCGACCGGCCACAUUGGGACUGAGAGACGGCCCAGACUCCGACGGGAGGCAGCAGUGGGGAAUAUUGCACAAGGGGCGGAAGCCGGAUGCAGCAACGCCGCGGGCGGGAUGACGGCCUUCGGGUUGUAAACCGCUUUCAGCAGGGGCGAAGCUUGUGGUGACGGUACCUGCAGAAGAAGCACCGGCUAACUACGUG